AGGCGACUUCAGAAAACGCCUUUCCCCUGGAGAACCUGGUUUCAGUAUGGAGAACAAAUUGGCAGCUGACUCGUUUUGGGACAUAGGAGUGAGAACUGAGACCAAACUAUGGUGGAGGUGAUGAAGAUGAUGGCAACCUCCUUUAAAAGGUUCCGUGCACACACUGCUGCACUCGGUGCCCAGACUCUGCAGCAGGCCACCACCAACCCACGCCUCUGCCCGAGACUCCUGGACACUCACAGGAUCUGUCUGGUACUCAAUCAACCCUUAUCUACCUGUGGUGGGACUCCUGAAUGCUCUCUCUCAAAGUACUGGAGUGGAUUCCAGGGGCUUCCAGGUGAUCUGGGUCCAAUGAGGUAGGGAAAGUCUUUAUUACUAUCAACCUAGUAUGCAUUUUGAAGUGCUUUGGAAAUACAGGGUGGUUUCCUCCCCCAAAAGUACAUUCAGAAAGCCUAGUAAAAUAAGUG
rnacentral:lncRNA from 1 species